GACGAACGCUGGCGGCGUGCCUAAUACAUGCAAGUUGAGCGAUGAAGAUUGGUGCUUGCACCAAUUUGAAGAGCAGCGAACGGGUGAGUAACGCGUGGGGAAUCUGCCUUUGAGCGGGGGACAACAUUUGGAAACGAAUGCUAAUACCGCAUAAUAACUUUAAACAUAAGUUUUAAGUUUGAAAGAUGCAAUUGCAUCACUCAAAGAUGAUCCCGCGUUGUAUUAGCUAGUUGGUGAGGUAAAGGCUCACCAAGGCGAUGAUACAUAGCCGACCUGAGAGGGUGAUCGGCCACAUUGGGACUGAGACACGGCCCAAACUCCUACGGGAGGCAGCAGUAGGGAAUCUUCGGCAAUGGACGAAAGUCUGACCGAGCAACGCCGCGUGAGUGAAGAAGGUUUUCGGAUCGUAAAACUCUGUUGGUAGAGAAGAACGUUGGUGAGAGUGGAAAGCUCAUCAAGUGACGGUAACUACCCAGAAAGGGACGGGUAACUACGUG
rnacentral:rRNA from 1 species